AUUGAACGCUGGCGGCAGGCCUAACACAUGCAAGUCGAACGGUAACAGGAAACAGCUUGCUGUUUCGCUGACGAGUGGCGGACGGGUGAGUAAUGUCUGGGAAACUGCCUGAUGGAGGGGGAUAACUACUGGAAACGGUAGCUAAUACCGCAUAACGUCGCAAGACCAAAGAGGGGGACCUUCGGGCCUCUUGCCAUCGGAUGUGCCCAGAUGGGAUUAGCUAGUAGGUGGGGUAACGGCUCACCUAGGCGACGAUCCCUAGCUGGUCUGAGAGGAUGACCAGCCACACUGGAACUGAGACACGGUCCAGACUCCUACGGGGGGCAGCAGUGGGGAAUAUUGCACAAUGGGCGCAAGCCUGAUGCAGCCAUGCCGCGUGUAUGAAGAAGGCCUUCGGGUUGUAAAGUACUUUCAGCGGGGAGGAAGGGAGUAAAGUUAAUACCUUUACUCAUUGACGUUACCCGCAGAAGAAGCACCGGCUAACUCCGUG
rnacentral:rRNA from 1 species